GGGAGCGAACAGGAUUAGAUACCCUGGUAGUCCAUGCCGUAAACGUUGGGCACUAGGUGUGGGGACCAUUCCACGGUUUCCGCGCCGCAGCUAACGCAUUAAGUGCCCCGCCUGGGGAGUACGGCCGCAAGGCUAAAACUCAAAGGAAUUGACGGGGGCCCGCACAAGCGGCGGAGCAUGCGGAUUAAUUCGAUGCAACGCGAAGAACCUUACCAAGGCUUGACAUGUUCUCGAUCGCCGUAGAGAUACGGUUUCCCCUUUGGGGCGGGUUCACAGGUGGUGCAUGGUUGUCGUCAGCUCGUGUCGUGAGAUGUUGGGUUAAGUCCCGCAACGAGCGCAACCCUCGUUCCAUGUUGCCAGCACGUCGUGGUGGGGACUCAUGGGAGACUGCCGGGGUCAACUCGGAGGAAGGUGAGGACGACGUCAAAUCAUCAUGCCCCUUAUGUCUUGGGCUUCACGCAUGCUACAAUGGCCGGUACAAUGGGUUGCGAUACUGUGAGGUGGAGCUAAUCCCAAAAAGCCGGUCUCAGUUCGGAUUGGGGUCUGCAACUCGACCCCAUGAAGUCGGAGUCGCUAGUAAUCGCAGAUCAGCAACGCUGCGGUGAAUACGUUCCCGGGCCUUGUACACACCGCCCGUCAAGUCACGAAAGUUGGUAACACCCGAAGCCGGUGGCCUAACC
rnacentral:rRNA from 1 species